rnacentral:rRNA from 1 species
GAUGAACGCUAGCUACAGGCUUAACACAUGCAAGUCGCAGGGUAACAUGAGGAAAGCUUGCUUUCCUUGAUGCCGACUGGCGCACGGGUGAGUAACGCGUAUCCAACCUUCCCAUAACUACGGGAUAACCCGUUGAAAGACGGCCUAAUACCGUAUGAUAUCGUUUGCUGACAUCAAAUAACGAUUAAAGGUUUAGCGGUUAUGGAUGGGGAUGCGUCUGAUUAGCUUGUUGGCGGGGUAACGGCCCACCAAGGCGACGAUCAGUAGGGGUUCUGAGAGGAAGGUCCCCCACAUUGGAACUGAGACACGGUCCAAACUCCUACGGGAGGCAGCAGUGAGGAAUAUUGGUCAAUGGGCGAGAGCCUGAACCAGCCAAGUAGCGUGCAGGACGACGGCCCUAUGGGUUGUAAACUGCCUUUAUGUGGGGAUAAAGUGCGUGACGUGUCAUGCAUUGCAGGUACCACAUGAAUAAGGACCGGCUAAUUCCGUG